UGGGCCCAACUUUAAAAAUGCAGAACGAAAAGUUGGCCUCACCUUCAUCCUUCGAUCCAGAGUUUCGUUUCCAAACCGACUCUCGACAUCGACGAAACUGCAAAUUUGAGGAAUGGAUGUGAAUAACUUUAAAACUCAGCUGAAAAAGCACAGUGAUAACAUAAGUGCUCUGGAACGCAAUAUGCAAUACAGCGGGUCCAUAAAUAUGCUCAUGAAAAACCUUUCCGUCAAGAUUGAAUCGAGUCAUGCUCAACAUUCUGAAGCCAUAGGAGCCUUGGGGCAAGAGGAUGAGGAACUAUUGUCAGAUGUUAAAUCAAUGAAAACAGAGAGAGAAAUGAUACGCGGGGAGAUGAAGGAAAUAAACAAAACUUUAGAAAAGCUGAAAACUGAUAAGAUGGAGGGAGAAAGGUUGUUGGGGGAAGCGUAUGACCGUAUCUCAAUGCUGGAUGCUGAAAUGGAGACAUCAAAAAAGAGUACUACAGAUACGAUUGCAGGCAUGGAUUAUGAUAAAUUUAAAACCCAGCAGAAAGAGCACAAUAAUCAUAUAAAUGCUCUUGAAGACAACUUGCGAUACGAUCGUCGGGUCAUGAAUAUCCUCUUGAAAGACAUUAAAGAGGAGAUUGAAAUGUUUCAUUGUAAGCGUUCCACAGACUUAGAAGCGUUGAUGCAAGAAAAUGAGGAAUUGUUGUUGUUACUAUUGUCAGAAGUUGAAUCAGGGAAGACGAAGAAACAAAUGUGUGAAAACAUUAAACAUGGAUAAUGAAGAUAUGAUUAGAGAUUUAUCUGAAAAGGUUGAAAACUUGGAGCAGUGGAUUUUCUCAGGUCCUUUCUAAGUGGAAGAAUACCCAAUAAAACAGAUUUUAGGGCUCUAAUAUCAAGUUUCCCUUGUCUUGGUUAUGUUAGAAGAAAUGAAACACACUCAAAGAUUGAUUAUACAAAUGAACAAAUUCAAGCAACAUGGAUUCCCGAUGUUUUUCACUUCUUUAGAGCUCAAAAAAUAUAUAAAUCAUGGAAUUUGGUCAUGUGGGUUUCAUGAAAACACUAUGCUCAUUUUGGUGACAUAUAUUUAAAAUGUGGAAUGCAGCUGAGUUUUGGUAUUAUAUAGUUUUCAAUUUUAAGGGUAGCAGAGGAGGGCUGAGGCUGCAUGGAUAUGGAGUGAUGAUGACCUACAUUACAUUUUUGGUGACAAGUAGUCUUUGAUUUUGUAGGGGUGUUUUUUGAAUAUGAUACAAUACGGGUUAACCAGAAAAUAAGCCCUCAAGAGUACAUAACAAACCUCAGUGGCUGAAACAUAAAUAUAUAUAUAUAUAUAUAUAUAUUUAAUAAUUAUAAUUAUUCCAAUAUGAAAACCGUACUACAAUCA